rnacentral:lncRNA from 1 species
UGUGAUUGAGUUCCUCUAUCAUGAGUCCCGACUGAAUUAGGGUUAAGGUGAACUCGUCAAACCCAACAUCAGUCAUAUGAGUAAAUCGAUCGAUCCGAAUCUGAUGUGAAACCUUAAUGGAAAACUCUUUUCCAUUAUUUCACUCUACCAUGGCCAUGGGCUUAAGGACUCGAUCUUUCGAUCAUCAUAGGACUACUCCUUUCAUCUAUCGAGGUUGAUAGAUCCCAUCUUGGUGCGACCUAGUUCCUACUAAUGAAUAUGCUACAGCC